CACUAUGCUCAGCCCUAAAAUUCGAUAGGUCACUACGCCCCCUAUCCGCCCGGGUACUACGAGCAUCAGCUUAAAACCCAAAGGACUUGGCGGUGCUUCACAUCCGUCUAGAGGAGCCUGUCCUAUAACCGAUAACCCCCGUUAAACCUCACCCUCCCUUGUUAAUCCCGCCUAUAUACCGCCGUCGUCAGCCUACCCUGUGAAGGACUAGAAGUGAGCAAGAUUGGUAAGACCCAAAACGUCAGGUCGAGGUGUAGUAUAUGAGAGGGGAAGAGAUGGGCUACAUUUCCUAAAUCAGGAAAUACGAACAAUGAACUGAAAUAAGCAUUAGAAGGUGGAUUUAGCAGUAAGCAGAGAAACAGAGUGUCCUGCUGAAGUUAAUGGCAAUAAAGCACGUACAUAUCGCCCGUCACUCUCCCCGAGCCUAACGUAUUCCCACGUACCUAAAAAGUCACACCUGCAAAGGGGAGGCAAGUCGUAA
rnacentral:rRNA from 1 species